rnacentral:snoRNA from 1 species
GCCGAUGAUGAAAUUUGAACAUUCUGAAGGGUGAUGAGCCUCCACGGCUCUGAGGC